AGCUACGAUCGACUCAGUUUCGCGCCACACUCACGCUUGAGAGAGAGAGAGAGAGAGAGAGAGAGGACAUGGGAGACCAGAAGACGCCAUUGGAGGAGAGCUCGAGCUCCCCGGCUCUCCAUCCCAAAUUGAACUCCGGCGAUGCUCCGUCGAAGAAACCUGUCCAGUCACUUAAGAAGACUUCGAGUGUCCAAGAAACUUCGAAGAAAUCGAUCGAUCUGUCCUCCGCCUCUGAAAUUUCAGACAACAGUCACAAUGAUGAGGCCGCGGAGGUAAAGAUUUGCUUCUUCUAGGAAAUUCCGAAAUAGCUAGGUCGUUUUGACUGAUUUGGAUGAUCUGCGGAGAACAUAGCCGCAGCGGAGGUUUUUCUGUUGCAAAUUGCCGAUUCAGAGAAUUACGCCUGAGCUUAUGGUCAUCUUUCACGUUUUAGCUGUAGUCAGUGUCGGUCGCAGAUAUGCUUGUGUCGUGGUACCUCUGCCUUGGGGAAACAUUUUACUGGAUCAUACGGAUUUGCAAAGUGAUUGCGUCUUUGUGCUAUUAAUUCUGCUGUCAGAUUUGUGGUUUUGUGUCCACUGUUUCAUGAAAGAGAAGGUAAAGGUUAUAACAAUCUGGAUUCGCAAAGAUUUGCUUGAUCGUCAAGGUUUUAAGAGCAGCAUCUAGAUACAAAAUCUUAUGCUCAUUCCCCUGAUGAAAUGCUUGAUAUCACGACUAAAUCUUAUUGCUCAUAGAAUGCAAAACCAGAACGUGAUACUUUGAUUGUGGUCAAUUCUUGAGAAUUUCAAUUAUGUGCUUCAGAACUGAUGAAUGUAGAUUUAGGGUGUUAUUUUCUUGGUUUGUAAUCAUCCGAGAAUUGCAUUACGCAGGCUCGUGAACUGGUUUUAAGUUGGCUACACUCCAAAAGCUUUCCUUGAUGGUUGAUUCGCCGUAGUUCCUCACUCUCACUCUUCACAUUUGGGAAUGCUAAUAAUUUGUUCCAAGCAAUCAGUAGCUUUCACUAGCUUUCAUCUACUAUCCUUCGCCCGAUAGUACUAGAUGAUCCUGAGAUUGCCUGACAUUAUUUCACCAGUUUUAUGCCUCCUUGUUCACAGAUUGCCGUGCAAUCUUCUGUGAGUUCUGUUUCACCCGAUCUCUGCUUCUCAUUGGAGAUCACAGGUGAUCAUGGGAGUUUUCUGUUGGAGACCCGUGAUUCCAGUAAGCCAGGCAAUUCGAACAUUGGUUUUCUUGAAGCAAAAUUUUCGACAAAGCUUCUCGCAACAGCUCAAGCAGAGGUCUUAAAGUCGCUCGAUGUGAACCGCCAGACGGUGAAGCUUUUCGAAAGAGCAAUGAAUCGAGUGGAUGGGCUUCGUAAUCCACCUGGAAAGAAAACUUACUCUGGCAAACUCACUUCCUUGAAUGUCCGUCGUUUCUCUUUUGUCCUUCUGCUGGGGAUUCUCGCAAUCUCACUGUUUUUCUUCUUUAGUGCUGAAUCUCAAAGCAUGUCUUUUGGCCCUUUACCGACUUAAGGUGAAAACUGUAGGGUGGAUCCCAUUGCUACUCUUCUGUAAGGAUGAUCCAAACACUUGUUCGAUAUAGAUGUGUCAUGGGAACAUGGAUACAGCUUUGAAUUGAACUGAUGGAUCAGUUCGGCAGCAUGCUUUUCGCCAUUGAAUAAAGCCAUCAAUUACAAAC